AGCGAGUAGCUCUGUAAGGGAAUGGUUUUUAUUCGGAGUGAUUCAAAAGUUUGGCAUUUAACGUUUACGGAAAACAGAUCUAUCUUCUACCACUAAACUCAGGAAUUGUUGACUGGAAAUAAUCUAACUAAACCAAUUAAACACUUCAUGGAUCCUUCUCAUCAGCAAUUCAUCCGUCUUCGGGCUAUCAGGAGGGGCUCGCCCCGCGCGUGUUGCUAGGGAGCCCUGGAGUCUAACUGGUAAACACACGCAGACCGGGGGCAGAAGAAAAGCAGGCCGGCCGGGAAGCACACGGCCUCUCCCGGCCUUCUCCCGGGGUGAAAUGAAACAGGAAUGGGAGAUCAUGCUCUUCCCCGUCCUAAUUUAGCAAGCAGGAUUGUCUCACCCAGGCCCGCAGAGCGUGUGCCGCCCCAGGGCGUCCUUACACACAACAGGCUCUGGGUUGUUCAGCAGUCGCCUGCAGGCGAGGCCAAAACAGGCUGCUUCCACCUCCUUCAAAGGGCUGUGUGCUGCUCAGUGGGUUGGCAGUGUUGACUGCACCAGGCGAAGGACCUGGGCCGGGCAGACAGGGAAGUGCCUGGCACGGGCACCACGCUGGAGGGCAGGCUCUGAGGGUGGGGAGAGCAGAGCACAGAGCCCGGGGGGCACAGGCGUCGGGUGCUUCCUCACCGGCUGCCCCGGCCAGCUGUGGUCGCCCAAGCCACUCGAGCCUGGGGUGAGGAUGGGGUGCAGGCCUGGGACCUGGCUGGCUCCGGGGUCCGAGUUCCUAACCACAGCCCUCCACUGCCUCCGAGCCGGCUCCACUCCAGCGCACCACAGCUGUAAAGAAAUCCGGCUUCUUUGUCCUUAGGAGACAGAAGUAAAAUUUUCUCAUCGCACAUUGGACUGUUUAGCUCUGCAACUAGUGCUGGAGGGGUCCUCAUGGCCCACCUUUACCAUCUGGGUGUUCUUGGGUGAGUGCGUCGCUUCCGACCCUCAGGGAGGCCAGCGGGUACCGUGCAUCUUCCACGAGGCCCGUUCUCCAGGGCCAGCGAGGGUCGAAGUCUGGUGAGGGGAUUUGGGCUCUCAGGCCCGAAGGGCCCACAGCGUCACCUGCCUGGAGCGUGCACACUGCAGCCCAGAGGAGCUGGGUUCCUGAGAAGUGAGUCUCCCCAGCUCGAAGACCGGGUGGUGGCUCUCUCCCUCCUUCGUGCAGAGCUGAGCUGUUCGGGGAAAAUGGCAGAGUCGCCCGGAGAUUGGCCUGGAGUCCGAGGGAGACGCCCACCAGUGGCUCGGGUGGUGUGCGGGUCGGAGGCGGCCUCCCUGCCAGUCCCGGCACCCGCACGCUGCUCCUCUCAGCAGAGCCCAGGCUCAGGGCUGGACGGGGCCGGGGCUGCUGCUGUUCACACUGUCUGUUACUUCGCCUCUACUUACGGGAACGACUCCCACUUUCGACUUACAGGACCGAUAGGAAGCUCCCCAGGAUCUGUUCAAAUGUGGGCCUAUGGUCAGCCAGGCAAAUGGAAGCGCAAUGGUCGAAGCCAUGACAGGAGCCCUGGCCAGAGCGGACUCGGGACACUCUCAGCCAUCCAGGCGACACAGGCGCCUCUGGGCCAAGCCGCUCGGGCCUGGGGUGCUCGGAGACGUGGAGGCUGAGUCGGGCAGAGCAGCCUCGCCCGCCGCUCUCAGGCAAGGUUUGCCGGGGUGUCUGCCUCUGUCCCCUUCAAGCCCCACUUCUGGCCAGGACCAAAGGUGCCUGAAUCCCGUCCUGUCCCCAUGGACUCAGAUCGUCCCUGGUGAUGCCAGGGAGCUGGUGACUGCGGCCUGGGGAACAGGAGUGGGCCACGGAGGGGCUGGGCUCCCGGCCCGCGUCCCGAGCACCAGCGACCUCACGCUGCACCCAGCCUCAGCGUCCCUGGCAUCGCUGGACGCAGCCCCCUGGGCACUGCCCUCCCUUCGUCCUCUGCUCCCAGGCAGGCGGCUGAGGAAGGCGGGCGGCAGGGCUUUCCUGACUCGGAGGUGAGUGCAGCCGCGCGUCCCAGAGCCCGGGGUGUUCGGGGACCGCCGACGUAGGGCCAUGUGCCCACGAGGGCAACACUCAGUGGGGGCCGGAGGACGCCCCAAGAGGUGGCUCCCACAGACCGCGGGGCCCCAGGGCUGCUCUGGGGCUGGUGGCUUCUUCCCAGGCCGGGCUGGACAGCCACUGGUUCCCUCCCUGGGGACAGAGGGAACAGCCAGAAAAACAGCACCAGGAAGAGCUUGCGCAGGGCCGGGCCCUUGUGCGGAGAAAGCAGGAGAAAUGACGGGGAGCAGUCAGAGGUCAGGAAAUCAAUUUUUGUCUCCUUACAGAUCUAUCCAUGCAGAGGCUUGUAAAGGUCACGCCUGUCCUCUUAAAGAACCUCCAGGAUUUACAUCCUGCCCAGCCCUCGGCCUCCUGGAUGGUAAACAUGAAGAUCCAAUUAGUUUUCCCUAUAACUCAAAGAGAUCCAGCAACAGGGGCCUUUCCGGUUGGGAGUCGGUUUUCUUGCUCCUCGAUUCGGGGAUGAACUUUAAUCCACAUCUUAUCUCCUGCUUAAAAAUGAACAUCUCUUCUCUUCUUAUCACUGUGUUGCUCCCUUCUCACUUCCCCUCCCUCUGGAGUCUUGGCCACCUUCCUCCUUGGCAGUGACAGUGGAUUCUUCUGACCGAGUUACUCGCCGCUCUUGGUUACCUUAAGAAUUUCCCCCUGGCCGGGUCCCAGCCCUGCUCCUCCCCGGCACUGGGCAUCCGGGGCCCCACUUCUGAGUCUUUGCCGAGGAAGGGCAUGGAUUGCUGAACACCGCUCCUUUGUGGUGCAGUCCCCAGAGAUGAAGUCCCGAGCAGCCUGUCCCCAGUUCCUGGCCCCUCCCCCCCUCUGGGUUCACCAGUCCACACUGCUCUCCCCGGGUCGUGGGUGAGGUGGGCGCCCCAGUGCGAGUGCCCAGCCCCAGCCCGCAGUGCCGGGCUGCGGGUCUCAGAGUGGUCAGCUCUGGCUCCCGGCUGAGGGAAGCUUUCACCCACUUGUCCUGACGUGAGCAAUUCUGCAGGCAGGGCUGGGGGCCAGGGAGCGGUGGGCCUUCCGGGCAGGCGCUCUUCUGGUGCCUCCUUCGUUGAUUAUGGGGCCUCAGCAGGAGGCCUGGGCUCCUCAGCACAAACCUAGUCCCUGGGGCUCCCGGAAGUCACCACAGCCAGCACUUCCUGAGUGUGGGAAACACUGCACUGUACCUGGCCUCUCCCCAGGAGCUCCCACGAGCGCCUCCACCUGGAAGGGAAUCUGGGCGGGCACACGGCGUGGGACCUCUGACACGCAGCUUGCUUCCCGCUAGCUCUGAUGCAGGAGGGUGCGGAACCCCACGGCCACCUUGUGUGCUGGAGACAGGGAGGGGAGUUUCCAGUCUCCUCCUAAAAGAUUACUUGGCUUCUUCCUUGCUGUUGCCUAAGAGUCUGGAUAGGACGCACCUCAAGGCAGAAUGCCUUCAGAAGUUGCAAAGAGUGGAAAUCCUAGCUCAAGCAGCUUUCAUAGAGGAGACUUAUGUGCUCAUGUAACUACUGGUUGAAGUCUAGGCUUAGCCAGCACCUCCAUGAUGUUUCCAUGGACUCAGCUUUCUCUGGUCUUUCAGUUUGUCCUUCUGUGGUGUCAGCUUCAGACAAAGCCUGAUCUGCCUCAUGGUGGCAAAAUGGCUGCGGUGGUUCCAGGCUUCACAUUUUCAUAGUCAAAAGGAUUUGUCUUGGGUCUUUUCCACACCCAUGCAGGAAUCUAAAGAAUCUGCGUUGUCAGGAAGGCUGAGUAUGGAGUGGCUGGCCACUGGGUAAAGAAUUAAGAUCUUUGAAUUACCUCCUGUUAGAGCAGUUGAAGUGUAGGGACUUCCUCCCCGAAGUGUGAAGGUGGAACGUGCCAGUUGGUGCUGUGGCCUCAAUGACUCGGGCUUUUCUGCUCUGUGGUGCCGUUUCCUUGGUGUCACCGAUGGCGGCAGGAGUGCCGGGUGCUACCUUCUCAGUGUGGUCUGAACAGCAGGGGCAGCAAGGCUGGGAGCAGAGGGGCCUCUUCACGCACCCUGCUCUGGUCAGGGCCGGAAGCAUCCCAUUGACGCCGCCCCUCUGCCUCCUCCCCCCUGGCCUGGCCUGGGCCCGGGCGGACUGUGGAAGUGAACACCGGAAGGUCACCCAGCAGUGCCCUGCUUUACACUGCAGAGUCGAAGGCCAGCCCUGAGGGUGUUGCCAGUGUCUCAGAAGCGUGAGGAGAGCAGACCGAGUCUCCCAGCAGCUGCCUUGGGCCACUCUGUCUGGGAACACAGAGCCGAGGGCGGCCAGGCUCCAGGGGCAGCCCCGCCUGCUCCAAGCAUCGGCACAGACUGAGAAGCCCGGGUCUGUCUUGGCCUCCUGACCCUGGGAAUGUGCUGCCGACUCUUCCUUAACUUGAAGCUCUCAUUCCGUGGCAAGACUGCUUCCCCACCAGCUAACUGCUGGUCCUCAGGGCUCUGCUCAGCUCAGAGGGCCUGAGAGUGGCUGUCACUCAAUAAACCGUGCUAUCGGCCAGACAGUUUUGGCUGAACUGAAGACGGAGCAAGGAGCGCAGUGCAAGGAGGCCAGUCCACACAGGCAGCUCUGGCGUGCUCGGUUUCCUGCUAGUCCAGCGCUGGGCUCUUUGCUGCCCUUCUGACUCCCUCUGAGAAAUGAUGGAAGCAAGUUUUUCACCGCAGUUGGAAGCAGGCUCUGUGGGAAGGAAGAGGUCUCUUGGAGAAGCGGUGACAGAUGAGUCUGCUCGGAGGAAGAAGAAGCUGAGGCACUUGGGAGCCAGGGCCAUGGGCUCCGCAGUCAGUGGGCAGGGCCAGGCUUGCAGGUCAGCGCUGGCUCGAGGCUCUCAGUCGCUGUGCUUUGUCGACACACGGUUUGCGUGCACAGCGAUGGCGUGGGCCACAGGUGUCCUUCUCGGCUGCCCAGCCCUGGGUCCCACCUGGCCCUCAGUGGAGGCCCCGCCCGGCAGGCACCACUCCCUGAGCCUCUGCAGGAGCGGCCAGCAGGUGGCGCAUCCGCAACUGGCAGACAGCUCCUGGGCCACAGCAGCUGCAGCCCGGCCUUGGCCGGGCGCCCUUUCCUGGCCGUGGGGAAGGGGAGGCUCCCGUGCGUCUGUCUGUCUGUCUCGGUUCAUCUUGUAUUUGCUUGGAUCGUGAGGCCCCGCUCGGUCCCCAGGAGUAGGGGUCUUGCUCGGUUUUUGUGUGGUUAUAGCUCAGCCUCAGGCUGCUCCCUGCUGGUGAGGGCCUGGGGUGAGGCCAAGCCCCGGCGAAUGCCCCCGCUCUCCUCUCUGAGCCUCCUGUCAGCGGCGGCCGGGAGGGUGCACGCCGGCCCCCGGGCUCCGCUGCCCGGACUUGUUCCCCUCAGCCCGGGAGCCCUCUGGACCCCAAGUCUCCUGCCCUGUGGCCCUCCCUUUGGUCGAAGCAUUUCCACGCGGUAGCCUCUCCUCCUUUCGGUGAAAAACACACGGAUUGAAAUUCAUCCUUCUCGCCUUCUUUGUGGCCCUGCCCACUCGCAUCAUUGUGCAGCCGACAGACAGCAGCGCCCACCCCUCCGCCACCGUCCGCAGUCUGCCAAAAGCUGCUGCUCCCCUCGGGCCCGGGUGGGACCUAGCUGUUGGGCACCGCCUGCUCUGGGCCCGCCGCCUUUCUUCAAAGCUCGAGAAGAAGGGGUGAGAGAGGCACCGGGGUCCCCCGCGCACAGGGGAUCUGUUCCCAGACCCACGGGCAGCGCAACCCUAAGCUGCACCCCUCAGAGCCAGGUUCCCCGAAUCCUGUGCUGGGUCCCCCUUGGCCCGCGACUCCUGUGCUUUUAAGUCAUAAAGGGCUCUGUGGACACAGCACAGCAACCGUGUGGCCUCAGCCUGAUCCUGCUCGGCAGCCGGCAUCCAAGGACGAAGGAUGGGCCCUGCCAGAAUGGGGAACGGCCGAGGCCUGGGUCCUCAUCGUGUGAGCGAGCCAGGAGAGGGCAGCAUGAGCUGCUAAUUUCUAGAAUUCUCCACUGACCACUUCAAACCCUGUUUGACCUAAGGUCACCAAAACCGUGGAAAUCAAAGCCACAGGUAAGUGGGCUGUUGUGUAUUUUCCCAGAACGCACCUAUCUAUAACGCUAGAUCUGUCCUUCCUCCUUCACAGCGUGGCUGGAUGUGUCCUUGUGUCUGACACUCUCCCACUCUGCUCGAAGCCCAGGCUCCAGGACUCGUCCCGGGCAGGACCACAGACCUCGAGAGGCCCUGGCUUGGAGCUCAGCUCUGCUGUGGGCCAGGAGUCAGGCCUUGGGGACACCCAGCCCCCGAGGCCCCCGGGAGGGCUCAGCACCUCACUGGCGUGGGGUGCAGGCCCAGACUCCGAGGCCUGGAUGCUUUGCCUUCCAACUUCUGGCGCUGCUGCGUCUUGCAUUUCCAUACAUUUUUACCUGUGUGUUUCAGCUGCUGGUCAUUUUAUCGUACAUGGACUCAGUGCCCAAGGACUCUGCUGUAUUCUCAUUUCCCUUACAACAGAGCAGCCUUGCUCUGUGAUGUCCGACUCUUUCUUCUCUGAACAUCUGCAGGUUCCCGGCCACCGGGCCGGUGCGCGGGCUCAGGUGGCUCCAGCGUCCGAUCGGCCCCCAGGGCAUCUUUUGUUCUUUCUCUCUGCCGCUCAGGCGCCAGAGCAAGCGUCGCCUCUGUGAUGGGCCCGUGAUGCACAUGUCACCACAGACCUCUUGUUCUCCGAGAGCUGACGCCCCCAGAGACCGAGCCCCAGCAUCCUCUGGGGCCCAGUGUGGGAGGCAGGUGUCCCCCGCGCCCCUGUGCAACCUCAGUGUCCCCGAGCUCGAGGGUCGCUGUCCCCAGCCCCACUCCUACCCAGCUCCUCUGAGGGAACCUGAGUCCCCUGUAGAGGUUGCGCAGGAAGGGGGAGCCCGGGCCAGGCAGAGGGCCUUGUGUCCCUUCCUUCCAUGCACCUGGCUUUAUAAGAGCCCGGGGAGAAACCAGCGGGGCCCCAAGGCUCCCCAGGAAGCUCUGUCCAGAGCCGAGAGAAGCACUCAUGUACCCGGUGCGGGUGCUCAGGGCGAUCACUGCUCAAGACCUGAAGACCUCGAGCACUUUCCACCUGCAGUCCCAGCCUGGAGGGGACGAAGCUGGGAGAAAAGUGGGCAGUGGCACGGGUGGCAAGGACCCACUGUGGGCACAGCGGGUUCUCUCCUUCCCAGUUCCAGUUGAGAGAAAGGAGCCGACGCCUGGCUGCUGCGCUUCAGACCCCGCCUCUUCCGCCCUGACACUCGCGCGUCUGAGCAGCCGCAAUGAAACCGCAUUCUCUGCAAUUCCGGCCCCAGAGGGGGACUCGCAGCCCAGAAGGGAGCUUCAUCAGCGCCAAGCCAAGAGCCACGCCGGAAAUGGGGUCAGCAUUUCGGCCACACUAUAAAAGCUUAAAGGAGAAGGGACAUGAAAGGCUUCGUAAAAAGCCCCUUCCGAGAUGCACAAAUAAUGCUUUUCCCUCGUCCCUGCUCCAACACCGAGCUCCAGGUCCCCUGAGUCACCAUGAUGUAUUUUCUCCAACCACCAACCAGCAUCUGAAAUGAUUCCAAGAAUCAGGCCUGAUCCCCAGCCCCAAGAAGUGCCAGCUGUUUGCUUGCAGUUGUGUUUAAAAACUGUUCCUGCCUCUCCUGUACUCUGGAGUCUCCUUGGCUGGUAGUCAGUAAACAUGAACAGAAGAAUUCGCUUAGCACAGCUCAUGACAGCUAAAUCCUGGAAGCAGCCUAAGUGUUGGUCAACAGAUCAAUGGAUAAAGAAAGCAUGGUAUUUGCACACAAUGGAGUACUACUCUGCCCCGAAGAAGGAUAAACUUGAGUCAUUUGGAGGAAAGUGGAUGAAUCUGGAGGCCAUGAUAUUAAGGGAAAUAAAUCAGACAAGCUUGAAUAUCACAUGGUUUCUUUUAUGUGAGAAAGCCAAAGUAUAAAUAAUUAUAAAAAGAAAUAAAGAUAACACCGAACAGGAAGAUAGACCUUUUGCAAAUGAGGAGGAAUCAAGAGAUGAGGAGGGAAGGGAAGGGGGCUAAAAAGAAUGAGGAGGAGUUAGGUACAUAUGCCGGCUCCCCACGAGGAAAGCGACCAUUGCGGACCAGAAACAGCUAGGAAAAGAACGUAAAAAGCAGGGUCUGCAGCAGCCCGAGAAUCAGGCCCAGAGCACCCGGCCUCAGGCUGCUCUGUGGGGCUGGGGCUGUGGAGCGGAGGCGACUGUGCUUUCCCCGCCUGCCGCUGGCCUCAGUCCUGCUGACCCCUGAGCACCUCCCUGCGCUACUGCGACACAGUGGGGCUCCGUGCGAGCCGCUGUGCUUGUGCUGCGCUCUGGCCUGGGGACACUGGCGAUCGACAGGUUGCGAGGCCUUCCUCAAGGCGGGGCUCCGACAGGGGGAGCCCUGCAGCCUGGGAGCUGGAGCGAGGCUCCCUGGGGAAGGCUGGGGGCGGCAGAGCUGGGAGCCCCUGCAUGAAGGGUCCCCUCCCGCCCGCAUUCCUCAGGCCCACACAGGCUCCUGGUCCAGUGGGUGGUGCCUGACAACCAUGAAGAGCCAGGAGGUUCCUGCAACAGAGAGCGCUGGGCAUUCCGAGGAGAGACAGGAUUCUAUGCGGUGUCAGGCUCCGAAGCCAGGCAGCCGCAGGUGUGCGUGGCCUGAAGUGCGCGGCCUCCCUGGGCAGGAGAAGCUGAGCAGACCGGACGCUGGGCUCGCGGAGAAGGUCGGAGGGAGAACAGCGGAGAACCUUACAGGGCCCGGAUCGAUGCAGCACCCACCUGGCACCUGCUGGGGGCAUGAGUUUCAACGUGGAGGAGCAUUGCGCCCCUGGGAGGAGGCAGCUGC
ensembl:lncRNA